UACGUAGGGUGCGAGCGUUGUCCGGAAUUAUUGGGCGUAAAGAGCUCGUAGGCGGUGUGUCGCGUCGGCCGUGAAAACCUGGGGCUCAACUCUGGGCGUGCGGUCGAUACGGGCAUCACUUGAGUUCGGCAGGGGAGACUGGAAUUCCUGGUGUAGCGGUGAAAUGCGUAGAUAUCUGCAGGAACACCCGUGGCGAAAGCGGCGCGCUGGACCACUACUGACGCUGAGGAACGAAAGCUAGGGGAGCAAACAGG
rnacentral:rRNA from 1 species